rnacentral:rRNA from 1 species
AGUUAGCCGGUGCUUUUCUGCAGGUACCGUCACUUUCGCUUCUUCCCUGCUAAAAGAGGUUUACAACCCGAAGGCCUUCGUCCCUCACGCGGCGUUGCUGCAUCAGGCUUUCGCCCAUUGUGCAAUAUUCCCC